ACUUUCAUGCUGCUGACAGUUCUCAGUAAAGAGUGUUAAUAUCAUCCUGCUUGUCGUUACUCUGAAGCUUCACUACACCACAAAUUGGCGACGAGGAUUCUGACAAGAUGUCUGUACACGUUCCUGCGCCUGCAAUGUUUUUGCCUUGUCCGGGAGAGCCUUCCAUACCGUUCGAGACUUGGCUACGUAUGUUUAACAACUACAUGCUAGUGAUAAAUGCAACUGGGAAUGCUUGGCCAACAACCCGCAAGAGAGCUACUUUACUUCACUGCCUUGGCGCCGAAGGACAGAGGAUCUUUUACGCACUGCCCGACUCAGGUACAAGUUUAGAACAGGCUGUAGCAGCACUACAAAAACACUUUAUUCCUAAAGUUAACGUUGUAGUGGAGCGAAAUAUGUUUCGAAAGCGUUCUCAACUGCCACAUGAGACGGUAGCUCAGUACAUAGCUGCCCUUCGCGCGCUUUCUGUGAAAUGUGACUUUAAGGAAAAUGCUGACGAGAUGCUUCGAGAUCAACUGCUGGAACACUUGCUGAAUGACAAAAUAAGAGAAAGACUGUUAUUAGAACUUGAUUUGACUCUAGAGAAAGCCACCACGCUGGCGAUACAGAUGGAAGCUGCUGCCGAGCAGGUUAACAAAAUGAAAACUGAUGGCAAUAGCGCUCCAGUGCAGGCUAUACAAUCCAAGCCCCACAUGCAAUACAAAAAUAACUUUCGUCCAGCUACUUCUCAUGCUGCUCCCCAUACUGCUGCCACUAUGCCAACCUCCUCACUGCACAAUUCCUGUUUCAGAUGUGGCUCAGACAAGCAUUUAGCAAAUUCUUCUCAGUGUCCUGCAGCUAGAGCACAAUGCAAAUCGUGCAAUAAAAGAGGACAUUUUGCACGAGUGUGCCGUUCAGCACCACAGAGCAAUGUGCAUGAGCUACAGCUACCCGAUGUGACCAUACUGUACUGUGAUAAUUCUGCCCAUGCACCAAAGAGACUGCUCUGCAAUGUCACCGUUUCCACUACCACUACCCCUGCUAAGGCCAUGCAGCUGGUUGUGGACACUGGUUCUGCCGUGUCUAUAUUGCCACACCACAUCUACCAGAAAUCCUUCAGGGACACUCCGCUGUCUGCAUCUUCUACCAGGCUGGUGACCUACACACGAGAUCACAUUCCUGCAUGCUACAGUACAGAUGGACAACACCUCUACAGCAGCCACUUUCUUCAUCGUGGAGAGAGGGACAGCACUGUUAGGUAUGGACUUAUUCACUGCCUUGGACCUGUGCAUCCGAGGGGAUACUGUCCUCACCUCAGCUACAGUGCCACCCACAUCGGUGAUGUCCACAAACACUGCAACACAUACUGAUGCCAACACCCCUGGGAUUGGGUGUGCUAAGACUUUUGUGCAUAAAGUGAAACUUGAUCCUACCAUCAGACCUGUGCGCCAGAAGCUGCGGCGCUUGCCUUUUGCCGUUAGAGAAAGCGUCUCUGCCGAGCUGAAUCGCCUGUUGGAAGCUGGCGUCAUAGAGAAGGUCGAUGCCUCUGCCUGGGUGUCCCCCAUUGUGGUCACAGCAAAGAAAAAUGGUGGAAUCCGGAUGUGUACUGAUCUCCGGGAACCGAACAAGGCGGUGGUCAUCGACAGCUUUCCGCUGCCCCACAUCGACGAACUACUUGCC
ensembl:lncRNA